GGAUGAUAUGCAAAUGUGAUUUUUUUUUAACUAUUUCUUUUGUCAAAGAUGUUUCAACUACUUGAGAGUAGUUACAUUUCUGAGAAUUGGUUUCUUUUCCCCCCAAUAGGCUGCAAGGAGCUGACAACUUUCAAGUGGUCUCAGUAUUCUUGAAUGAUAAUGAAUGAGAAAGAGGCUUAUAAUUUACCAGGAACACAAUCCUUUGAGCUGGAUUAGCCCCCUCCCUGUGCAGUCAGAUCAGAGAGCUGCCAUCCUUCCUCAAUGAGGAAUUCGGAUUUCCCCUUAUGCCCUUGUUCUGUCUUCUCAGGGUCAACAAGAGAAGAGAUGAUUCUCUCAUCUCACCUGAACAUUUUCAGAGUGGUCCUUUUCCCACUUUGGGCAAUAUUUUACAGAGUUCUCUUGUAUUAGCUCCAUUUUAAGUUGCUGUUGACAUGCUCCUCUACCAGCCUGCCUCAGGCAUCAGACAUCACAAGACCAGUGUGUGCAAUUUACUAGGAGGAGGGAUCCACGAAAAGCCCUCAGAAGAGCCUUCAAAAGAUGAUACCCGGAGGCAAAGGGCAUGUUAAUCAGGACAACUGACCAUAACAAAGGUAUGGAAUCUACUGCUGUUAUAUCAGUGGUCUCUAUUAGGAAAUGAUUAAAAGUAAUUGGAUCAGAUUUACUCAGGGAGGGAAAUAGGGAGUUUUGGGAGAGAUAUGUUGAAGAAGAGGGAUUGACAUAGAAGUUGUAUCCAUAGAUAUGAAAAGUUGCCUUCAGGAGAUAUCCAUGCAAUAGGAGGGCACAUAGAAAUGUAUUUGCAUUAUGAAAGUCUCCUGACAUAAACUCUCAUUCAAUCCAGCAUAGACUAGUGCCUGUCAUUGAUUCACAUUGGACCUGCUGGGGGGAGGGCCGGCUAGGAGAGUUAACAACAGUAGUGAUAGUAGGAAAAUACAUGAGGAACAUCUUGGGAAUAAGAAAGGAAAAGACAAAAUACUCCAGAGUGGAUAGAAUGUUGGACUUCUAUCGAGGGAGACUUGAGUUUAAAUCUAGCCUUAGGCACUUAUUAGCUGAGUGAUUCAGGACAAGUCAUUUAAUCUCUCCCAUCAUCAGUUUCCUCUUCUGUAAACUGGGAGUAAUAAUUGCACCUACAUCACAGGGUUAUUUUGAAGACCAAAUGAGUUAAUAAAUAGCAGAAUAGAAGUUCUUUGGGUUUAGGU
rnacentral:lncRNA from 1 species